GGAAACGUGCCUGAAAACUAAGGGCUGCUUUGAUAAAGCAGACAUAGAGGCCUCACCACUAACCCUCUCGCUUCCC
rnacentral:tRNA from 1 species